rnacentral:misc_RNA from 1 species
GAUAAGAACGCAGCGAAAUGCGAUAAGUAAUGUGAAUUGCAGAAUUCAGUGAAUCAUCGAAUCUUUGAACGCACAUUGCGCCCCCUGGUAUUCCGGGGGGCAUGCCUGUUCGAGCGUCAUUUCACCACUCAAGCCUCGCUUGGUAUUGGGCAUCGCGGUCCGCCGCGUGCCUCAAAUCGACCGGCUGGGUCUUCUGUCCCCUAAGCGUUGUGGAAACUAUUCGCUAAAGGGUGUUCGGGAGGCUACGCCGUAAAACAACCCCAUUUCUAAGGUUGACCUCGGAUCAGGUAGGGAUACCCGCUGAACUUAAGCAUAUCAAUAAGCGGAGGA